GGGUGCUCUUGGCUAUCUAGUCUUGAGCAACGAACGAAAAUUUUUUGUGAUAGCCCAGAUAGACAAAAGCCCCGUUAAUUUUUAAUCAACGAGGCUUAGAUCAUGAAUCUGGACAAUUCUGAUUCUAGUCUCUAUUUAACUAAGAGGCAAGAUGUAUGCUACGAAA
rnacentral:antisense_RNA from 1 species